AGGGCGCAUGGUGAAUGCCUAGGCACUAGAAGCCGAUGAAGGACGUGACGAACCACGAAAGGCUUCGGGGAGCAGUAAGUAAGCAAUGAUCCGGAGAUAUCCGAAUGGGGGAACCCAAUACCGGGAGGUAUUAUCAAGAGCUGUUAAGGCUGUUGAAGGAAGACGCAGUGAACUGAAACAUCUAAGUAGCUGCAGGAAGAGAAAGAAAAAUCGAUUUCCCAAGUAGCGGCGAGCGAACAGGAAAGAGCCCAAACCAGCUGGCUUGCCAGUUGGGGUAGUAGGACUGCAGGAAAGCACUUGAAGCGAUAGCAGAAUUAUCUGGAAAGAUAAGCCAGAGAGGGUGAGAGCCCCGUAAGCGAAAUUGCAGAGAGACUUAGCAGGAUCCUGAGUAGGUCGGGACACGAGGAAUCCCGAUUGAAACCGCGAGGACCAUCUCGCAAGGCUAAAUACUAACUAGUGACCGAUAGUGAACCAGUACCGUGAGGGAAAGGUGAAAAGAACCCCGGAAGGGGAGUGAAAGAGAACCUGAAACCGUGUGCCUACAAGUAGUCAAAGCACAUUAAAGUGUAAUGGCGUGCCUUUUGUAGAAUGAACCGGCGAGUUACGUUAUGGUGCAAGGUUAAGUCAGAAAAGACGGAGCCGGAGCGAAAGCGAGUCUGAAGAGGGCGAGAGAGUAUCAUGACGUAGACCCGAAACCAAGUGACCUACCCAUGACCAGGUUGAAGGCGUGGUAAAACACGCUGGAGGACCGAACCCACGUGAGUUAAAAAUCGCGGGGAUGAGUUGUGGGUAGCGGUGAAAUUCCAAACGAACUUGGAGAUAGCUGGUUCUCUCCGAAAUAGCUUUAGGGCUAGCCUCGUGUGAAUGAUAAUGGAGGUAGAGCGCUGUUUGGACUAGGGGCCGUCAGGGGUUACUGAAUCCAGAUAAACUCCGAAUGCCAGAUAUCAAUGCACGGGAGUCAGACUGCGAGUGAUAAGAUCCGUAGUCGAAAGGGAAACAGCCCAGAUCACCAGUUAAGGUCCCCAAAUCUAUGCUAAGUGGAAAAGGAUGUGGAGUUGCGUAGACAACUAGGAUGUUGGCUUAGAAGCAGCCACCAUUUAAAGAGUGCGUAAUAGCUCACUAGUCGAGUGACGCUGCGCCGAAAAUGUACCGGGGCUAAGCAUAGUACCGAAACUGUGGAUGCAUAUCAAAGGAUAUGCGUGGUAGGAGAGCGUUCUAAGUGCGGAGAAGUUAGAUCGAGAGGACUAAUGGAGCGCUUAGAAGUGAGAAUGCCGGUAUGAGUAGCGAAAGAUAGGUGAGAAUCCUAUCCGCCGAAAGACUAAGGUUUCCUGGGGCAGGCUCGUCCGCCCAGGGUAAGUCGGGACCUAAGGUAAGGCCGAGAGGCGUAGCCGAUGGACAACAGGUAGAGAUUCCUGUACUGAAAUUGUUCGAUAUGAGCAAAGGAGGGACGCAGGAGGCUAAUGACGCAUGUUGCUGGAAAUACAUGUGCAAGCAGUAAGAAGAAAGAUGAGUCAAAUGCUUGUCUAAAGAAAUCAAGCUGUGAUGCGGAGCGAAAUUAAAGUAGCGAAGGUCAUGAUGUCACACUGCCAAGAAAAGCUUCUAGCCAGAGCAAUUUUACCCGUACCGCAAACCGACACAGGUAGUCGAGUGGAGAACACUCAGGUGAGCGAGAGAACUCUCGUUAAGGAACUCGGCAAAAUGACCCCGUAACUUCGGGAGAAGGGGUGCUGAUGGUAAAAGAUCAGCCGCAGUGAAUAGGCCCAAACAACUGUUUAUCAAAAACACAGGUAUCUGCAAAAUCGUAAGAUGACGUAUAGGUGCUGACACCUGCCCGGUGCUGGAAGGUUAAGAGGAGAGCUUAGCGCAAGCGAAGGUUUGAAUUGAAGCCCCAGUAAACGGCGGCCGUAACUAUAACGGUCCUAAGGUAGCGAAAUUCCUUGUCGGGUAAGUUCCGACCUGCACGAAAGGUGUAAUGAUUUGGGCACUGUCUCAACGAGAGACUCGGUGAAAUUAUAAUACCCGUGAAGAUGCGGGUUACCCGCGACAGGACGGAAAGACCCCAUGGAGCUUUACUGUAGCUUGAUAUUGAGUAUUUGUUAAACAUGUACAGGAUAGGUAGGAGCCAGAGAAAGUAGGACGCUAGUCUUACUGGAGGCAAUGUUGGGAUACUACCCUUGUUUGAUGGAUCCUCUAACUCGCAGAGCUGAGCGUUCUGGAGGACAGUGUCAGGUGGGCAGUUUGACUGGGGCGGUCGCCUCCUAAAAUGUAACGGAGGCGCCCAAAGGUUCCCUCAGAAUGGUUGGAAAUCAUUCGCAGAGUGUAAAGGUAUAAGGGAGCUUGACUGCGAGAGGUACACCUCGAGCAGGGACGAAAGUCGGGCUUAGUGAUCUGGUGGUACUGCAUGGAAAGGCCAUCACUCAACGGAUAAAAGCUACCCUGGGGAUAACAGGCUUAUCUCCCCCAAGAGUUCACAUCGACGGGGAGGUUU
rnacentral:rRNA from 1 species